GCAGAAAAUUUUGUUUGUUGUGUUGUUUUAAUUGCAGGCACCCACUUGAAAAAUGAAGGGAAAUAUUUCAGAAAUCAAUUUUAGGUUCAAGUCAUUGGCAGGCGCCCACCUGGAGAACGAGGAAAUUUAUUUCAAUUUUAAAGUCAUCAGGCGCCCACCUGGAGAAUGAGGGAAUUUAUUUUAAGUUUUAAGUCAUCACGCGCCCACCUGGAGAACGAGGGAAUUUAUUUCAAGUUUUAAGUCAUCAGGCGCCCACCUGGAGAAUGAGGGAAUUUAUUUCAAGUUUUAAGUCAUCAAAAGCCCACCUGGAGAAUGAGGGAAUUUAUUUCAAGUUUUAAGUCAUCAGGCGCCCACCUAGAGAACGAGGGAAUU
rnacentral:lncRNA from 1 species